rnacentral:rRNA from 1 species
AUUGAACGCUGGCGGCAGGCCUAACACAUGCAAGUCGAACGGUAACAGGAAGAAGCUUGCUUCUUUGCUGACGAGUGGCGGACGGGUGAGUAAUGUCUGGGAAACUGCCUGAUGGAGGGGGAUAACUACUGGAAACGGUAGCUAAUACCGCAUAACGUCGCAAGACCAAAGAGGGGGACCUUCGGGCCUCUUGCCAUCGGAUGUGCCCAGAUGGGAUUAGCUAGUAGGUGGGGUAACGGCUCACCUAGGCCACGAUCCCUAGCUGGUCUGAGAGGAUGACCAGCCACACUGGAACUGAGACACGGUCCAGACUCCUACGGGAGGCAGCAGUGGGGAAUAUUGCACAAUGGGCGCAAGCCUGAUGCAGCCAUGCCGCGUGUAUGAAGAAGGCCUUCGGGUUGUAAAGUACUUUCAGCGGGGAGGAAGGGAGUAAAGUUAAUACCUUUGCUCAUUGACGUUACCCGCAGAAGAAGCACCGGCUAACUCCGUG